UACGAAGGGGGGCUAGCGUUGCUCGGAAUGACUGGGCGUAAAGGGCGCGUAGGCGGUUUGGACAGUCAGAUGUGAAAUUCCUGGGCUCAACCUGGGGGGCUGCAUUGAUACGUUCGGACUAGAGUGGGGAAGAGGGUCGUGGAAUUCCCAGUGUAGAGGUGAAAUUCGUAGAUAUUGGGGAAGAACACCGGUGGCGAAGGCGGCGACCUGGUCCUUGACUGACGCUGAGGCGCGAAAGCGUGGGGGAGCAAACAGG
rnacentral:rRNA from 1 species